UACGUAGGCAGCGAGCGUUGUUCGGAGUUACUGGGCGUAAAGGGCGCGUAGGCGGAUGGCACAGUCAGAUGUGAAAUUCCCGGGCUUAACCUGGGGGCUGCAUUUGAUACGUGUUGUCUUGAGUUCGGAAGAGGGUCGUGGAAUUCCCAGUGUAGAGGUAAAAUUCGUAGAUAUUGGGAAGAACACCGGUGGCGAAGGCGGCGACCUGGUCCGACACUGACGCUGAGGCGCGAAAGCGUGGGGAGCAAACAGG
rnacentral:rRNA from 1 species